AACGAACGCUGGCGGCAGGCUUAACACAUGCAAGUCGAACGCAUCCUUCGGGGUGAGUGGCAGACGGGUGAGUAACGCGUGGGAACGUGCCCUUCAGUUCGGGAUAACCCAGGGAAACUUGGGCUAAUACCGGAUACGUGCGAGAGCAUAAAGAUUUAUCGCUGAAGGAUCGGCCCGCGUCUGAUUAGCUAGUUGGUGGGGGAAUGGCCCACCAAGGCGACGAUCAGUAGCUGGUCUGAGAGGAUGAUCAGCCACAUUGGGACUGAGACACGGCCCAAACUCCUACGGGAGGCAGCAGUAGGGAAUCGUACGCAAUGGACGAAAGUCUGACGUCGCAAUGCCGCGUGGGGGAUGAAGGCCUUCGGGUCGUAAACUCCUUUUGCCAUAGUGGAGACACUAUGGAGAAUAAGUAACUGCUAACUCUGUGCCAGCCGCCGCAGUAA
rnacentral:rRNA from 1 species